rnacentral:rRNA from 1 species
UACGUAGGGUGCGAGCGUUGUCCGGAAUUAUUGGGCGUAAAGGGCUUGUAGGUGGUUUGUCGCGUCUGCUGUGAAAAUCCGAGGCUCAACCUCGAACUUGCGGUGGGUACGGGCAGACUAGAGUGUGGUAGGGGAGACUGGAAUUCCUGGUGUAGCGGUGAAAUGCGCAGAUAUCAGGAGGAACACCGAUGGCGAAGGCAGGUCUCUGGGCCACUACUGACGCUGAGAAGCGAAAGCAUGGGGAGCGAACAGG